rnacentral:lncRNA from 1 species
CCCGCAGGUGCUGCAUGGAGUGAGUGGCGGCAUCCACCGUGAGGAGGAGAGGAGCUCUGAUACCCUCAGGACCCGCCAGGAGGGGCAUCACGGAGGCUUCUCGACGACUUGGAGCUGUGUCCUGGGGAGAAAACCUCUCCUGUCUGGGCCCUGAGUGCUGAGGAGGAAGCUGCCAUGCACUUUUCCCUGGCAUUUUUCCUGCAUGUUCGUCUGUGUUUUUGCAAAUGACAUGUUGUCAUGAAUUUUUAUGCAUGAGGCGUAUUUCAUCAUGUCUGUAUACUGAAGUCCCUUCAUCCUUUCAUUGGUUGGUGGACAGGUAGGUUGAUUUCAUCCCUUGGUUACUCAUUGUUAGUGAGUAGUAGGUCACUAAACCUCAGAAGGCAG